ensembl:lncRNA
CUGAAACCUGUACAACCUAGGAGUGAAAAUACACUUUUCUAUCCUUUAAGUUGUGGGAGUUGUGUCUCAGCAACAAGAAGGUAUGCAAGUGCAAAACUUGUGGGAUCAAGAAGGCUUCUACCCAGAUUUCAGAAGGCCUGAGAGACCAGGAAGUAUGCCCCUGAAAAGGCAGUGAGUGAAGCUGUGAUAGUGAAUCCAAAAGUCCAUUGAGGACCCCAGGAAAUUGGAGAUGCCAGGAAUAUGGAACACCAGCCAAGAAAAGUCAAAGGCAAAAUAAGUCUUAAAACUUGAAUAGAGAAACACAACAAGGAAGACAUCCUACAUGCUGAUGAUCCUUGGAUGAGGGACAGAGGAAUUGUUUUCCAGGACCAAGAAAGAGUUUCUGACAUAGACCCUAUAAAGAUUUUAUUGGAACUAGUGGGCAGGUCCCAUACAUCCUGCUGAAGAGUUGC